UAGCACGAGACAGGUGAUGCAGCUGCAC
rnacentral:piRNA from 1 species